UGUCAGAAUUUUCUGUCCCCUUGGCUCCUACUUACUCAAUAUAAAGUUCAGCACUUUUGAGUAAAACAAAGCUCCUCAACUUUGAUUAAUUUAUUUCUGCUUCCUUUAUCAAAUGUAAGUUGCAUGAUCAUGGUAAUCCAUUGUAGGGGGCAAUUGAUGAGUCGAGCAAGACAAAUGUGUGUCAUUUUCAUAAUAUGUCCUGCCAGAGGUCCCGUUUUGAAAUUUUUAACCACAUUAUUGCACAAAUUGCCUAAAGAGAUUAGGUCUAAAUGAUGUGAGUUCAUAUAGCCUCAUCACUCAUGAAUAACAUGACAUUGUACCGAAGAACAAUGCAUUUAUUGCUUGGUAGAUCAGUUUAUCCUUACAGUACUUUCUUCGUCUUCUUUUCUGCAGAUGUUGAUAGCCAGAUAGAAUAUGAAGCAUCUUAUAUGCAAGCUGUGGCUGGGAACAUGCACACACACACACACUCUGCACCUUGAAAUUAGAAAAGGGUCAACUCUGGGAGAUCCCCACAAUGGCACAAACAAUGAUGCUGACAUAAGAACUCCUCCCACAUGCACCAGUAGAGGAACUUGUAAGCGCCAUUUGAAUACUCAAAUAUGUUAGUGUGUCACUACAAUAAAAUUGUAUAAGUAAUGACAAAUACCUUGUAAAGUUACAAGACGUUAAUUUAAUAUUACGUUCUCCAUUUAUCAA